UACGUAGGGGGGCUAGCGUUGUCCGGAAUCAUUGGGCGUAAAGCGCGUGUAGGCGGUCCGGUAAGUCCGCUGUGAAAGUCGGGGGGCUCAACCCUCGAAUGCCGGUGGAUACUGUCGGGCUUGAGUACGGGAGAGGCGAGUGGAAUUCCUGGUGUAGCGGUGAAAUGCGCAGAUAUCAGGAGGAACACCGAUUGCGAAGGCAGCUCGCUGGAACGUUACUGACGCUGAGACGCGAAAGCGUGGGGAGCAAACAGG
rnacentral:rRNA from 1 species